CCCCGCUUUUAGUUUCCUGCUCCGGGCACCCAACUUCCUUCCGGGACACUUGAGUAGCCUAACUCACCAGAACUUUGUCUUGAA
ensembl:ncRNA F35F11.4 ncRNA